AUUGAACGCUGGCGGCAGGCCUAACACAUGCAAGUCGAGCGGAUGAAGGGAGCUUGCUCCUGGAUUCAGCGGCGGACGGGUGAGUAAUGCCUAGGAAUCUGCCUGGCAGUGGGGGAUAACGUCCGGAAACGGGCGCUAAUAACGCAUACGUCCUGCGGGAGAAAGUGGGGGAUCUUCGGACCUCACGCUCUCAGAUGAGCCUAGGUCGGGUUAGCUAGUUGGUGGGGUAAAGGCCUACCAAGCCGAGGAUCCGUAACUGGUCUGAGAGGAUGAUCAGUCACACGGGAGCGUAGACAGGGACCAUGCUCCUGAGGGAGGCACCAGUGGGGUAUAUGGGACAGUGGGCGAAAGCCUGGUCCAGCCAUGCCGCGUGUGUGAAGAAGGUCUUCGGAUUGUAAAGCACUUUAAGUGGGGAGAAAGGGCAGUAAGUUAAGACCUUGCUGUUUUGACGUUACCAACAGAAUAAGCACCGGCUAACUUCGUG
rnacentral:rRNA from 1 species